GACGGGGGGGGCAAGCGUUGUCCGGAAUUAUUGGGCGUAAAGAGCUCGUAGGCGGUCUGUCGCGUCGGAUGUGAAAACCCAGGGCUCAACCCUGGGCCUGCAUUCGAUACGGGCAGACUAGAGUUCGGUAGGGGAGACUGGAAUUCCUGGUGUAGCGGUGAAAUGCGCAGAUAUCAGGAGGAACACCGGUGGCGAAGGCGGGUCUCUGGGCCGAAACUGACGCUGAGGAGCGAAAGCGUGGGGAGCAAACAGG
rnacentral:rRNA from 1 species